rnacentral:rRNA from 1 species
CAGUGGCGGACGGGUGAGUAACGCGUGAGAAUCUGCCCUCAGGAGGGGGAUAACGGCUGGAAACGGCCGCUAAUACCCCAUAUGCCGCGAGGUGAAAUGAAUUUCGCCUGAGGAUGAGCUCGCGUCUGAUUAGCUAGUUGGUGGGGUAAAGGCCUACCAAGGCGACGAUCAGUAGCUGGUCUGAGAGGAUGAUCAGCCACACUGGGACUGAGACACGGCCCAGACUCCUACGGGAGGCAGCAGUGGGGAAUUUUCCGCAAUGGGCGAAAGCCUGACGGAGCAACGCCGCGUGAGGGAUGAAGGCCUCUGGGCUGUAAACCUCUUUUCUCAAGGAAGAAGACCUGACGGUACUUGAGGAAUAAGCCACGGCUAA